rnacentral:rRNA from 1 species
GACGUAGGGCGCGAGCGUUGUCCGGAUUUAUUGGGCGUAAAGCGCUCGCAGGUGGUCCGUCGCGUCGUGCGUGAAAGACCCCGGCUCAACUGGGGAGGGUCGUGCGAUACGGGCAGGCUAGAGUUCGGUAGGGGAGACUGGAAUUCCUGGUGUAGCGGUGAAAUGCGUAGAUAUCAAGAGGAACACCUGAGGUGAAGACGGGUUGCUGGGCCGACACUGACGCUGAGUGCGCGAAAGCCAGGGGAGCAAACGGG